AGAUCUAUCUCUUUUAUUCUUGGUCAAUGAGAAUCCAAUAACCCAUUUGUGUGCUGCCUACGUACUCCAGGAAAUGAAAUUUUAGCUCCAAGUCCAGAGGGGUCUCGAUCGGCAUCAGGAACACCUUGGCUUUCACUCUGCAGGAAGUGGUUCCCGAUCAACAAUGCAGAUCAGAAUAACACCAAUGUGCUCCACAAAGUAUCUGGCCUAUCCAUACCCAGGGACAAUUAAGCCGUUCAGCACACAAGCUGGUUCAGCUGCACAGAUUUCAUCGGUCUACUAAGGGACAAUUGCCUGCUAGAUACAGAGAGUGAACAACACAAAGUAAAUGUACAUAGAAUAAAUGUAUAAGUCAGUAAUAAAAUGUAUAUUACUAUAGUAGGAUUGCAUAAUCUUUAGAAAAAGUACAUCCUAGUCCGUCUUAUGUACAGUUAGAAAAGUAAAGUAGGUACAUUGUAUAAUAGUCAGAAAUGUAUAUCAUGCAUAUUGUGUGAGUUAGUGUACAGCACUAAAAAAUGUCUCAAGUCAGGACUGUUAUCUCCUAGUCAGUAUAUCUAUACUUCAGUCCAUACAACCAAAAAAUGUGUCUUGUGAAUGUUAAUUAUUUGUCCUAUCCACUACGCACAGUGUUCUCUUGUGGCCAGAGAGAGCACCUGGUAAACUUAAAUCGCACUUUAAGUGGAAGUCACUGUUAUCUGUGGUACUAUCAGUAUUCUCGAAAGUUUUACAUUGUGGGGAGAAGUAGCAAAAAGCCGAUGGGC